rnacentral:rRNA from 1 species
CAGCAGCCACGGGAAUACGUAGGGUGCGAGCGUUAAUCGGAAUUACUGGGCGUAAAGCGUGCGCAGGCGGUUGUGUAAGACAGGUGUGAAAUCCCCGGGCUUAACCUGGGAACUGCGCUUGUGACUGCACAGCUAGAGUAUGGCAGAGGGGGGUAGAAUUCCACGUGUAGCAGUGAAAUGCGUAGAGAUGUGGAGGAACACCGAUGGCGAAGGCAGCCCCCUGGGCCAAUACUGACGCUCAUGCACGAAAGCGUGGGGAGCAAACAGGAUUAGAUACCCGCGUAGUCCCUGUCUCUUAUAA